AACGAACGCUGGCGGCAGGCUUAACACAUGCAAGUCGAACGGUUGUAGCAAUACAGCAGUGGCAGACGGGUGAGUAACACGUGGGAACCUUCCUAGGGGUACGGAACAACUCAGGGAAACUUGAGCUAAUACCGUAUACGUCCGUGAGGAGAAAAAUUUAUCGCCCUUAGACGGGCCCGCGUCGGAUUGGCUAGUUGGUGGGGUAACGGCCUACCAAGGCGACGAUCCGUAGCUGAUCUUAGAGGAUGAUCAGCACACUGGGACUGAGACACGGCCCAGACUCCUACGGGAGGCAGCAGUGGGGAAUCUUGGACAAUGGGCGCAAGCCUGAUCCAGCCAUGCCGCGUGAGUGAAGAAGGUCUUCGGAUUGUAAAGCUCUUUUGCCAGGGACGAUAAUGACGGUACCUGGAGAAUAAGCCCCGGCAAACUUCGUGCCAGCAGCCGCAGUAA
rnacentral:rRNA from 1 species